rnacentral:lncRNA from 1 species
CGCUCGCGUGUUUGUUGUUUGUACUUGUUUAGAAGCUUUGAGUUCAGGACAUCGCGGUGCGCCAGGGCUUGAUGACAUUUGUUGCCCAGCUGCCGGUGCUACCAGAGCGGAUGCAGAGCAAAGCUUCUGCUGAUGUUUGUUGUGCCCAUGAAGAUCUAGGCGGUCUCUGCAUCGUUGACAACAAAUAGCCACAAGUGCUGAUUGCUGUUGGUCAGCUCAGCCCAGAAUUUGCGCAGGUUUGUGACCACCGAAAUACCUCGCCAAGACCAUUCGGAGGCUAUCAAAAGUUCGACACUGUGAUCAAGAUAUAGGACAAGUGCACCAAGACAUAUGAAGCCAAGUGUCCAGGGUCCGCCUACGAAAGCAGCACUUUUCACAGCGGUAUGCUUCACUUGCCCUGUACAAAGACGGACAAGACUCCGCUUUGCGAGGUGCAACGGCACCUGGAAGCCUGUAAUGAUGUUCUUUGGCACGUAGGCUUCCACCUGAGGGAAGCAGAAGAUGAGUUUGGGGAACUGUGCCUUGUUCGCACUUCACAAAAGUACUCAAGGCAUGCCUGGCUCACACGUGACAAGUCAGAUUUUCGCACUCGUGCCGCAAUAGAACUCUUAAAACAACUGUUGGUGCUACACAGAUGCAUCACGUUUGUAGAACUAGACGGUAACGUGGCCAUACAUGACGUCCUCCUUCGAACUCUAUAUAGGAAUACACGUGUGAAAAGCCUGCUCAUUUACGACUUCCAUAGAAUCUCCUUGAGAGACCCGGACCUCAGCGCAAAUAUCUUGAGAACAAUUACUUCCUUGACUCACAUCGAAAAGCUCGUGUUUCAAAACCGAGUGGACAUUCUCAAAGUCUGCAAAUUGUCCCCCGCACUCUGGAUAGAUAAAUAUAUUACUGGAAUCAGUGUACUAGACGUUGCGGACCUGAGGUUAAGCCAGUCGGACGCGGGAAAGUUGGUCUCAAUGCUGAUUCGAAACUCUACCAUAACUGAUCUGGCGGUUGGAGCUUCCGUCUUCACACUCGUCAGCGCAGAAUCAUCGGAUGGCUUCGUUGAUUUUUUGGUCAAGGCGCACAAAAGGUUGCAGAAGCUGA